GGUUAAGCGACUAAGCGUACACGGUGGAUGCCCUGGCAGUCAGAGGCGAUGAAGGACGUGCUAAUCUGCGAAAAGCGCCGGCGAGGUGAUAUGAACCUUUGACCCGGCGAUGUCCGAAUGGGGAAACCCAGUGUGUUCCGACACACUAUCGUUAACUGAAUACAUAGGUUAACGAGGCGAACCGGGGGAACUGAAACAUCUAAGUACCCCGAGGAAAAGAAAUCAACCGAGAUUCCCCCAGUAGCGGCGAGCGAACGGGGAGCAGCCCAGAGUCUGAAUCAGCUUGUGUGUUAGUGGAAGCGUCUGGAAAGUCGCACGGUACAGGGUGACAGUCCCGUACACGAAAGCACACAGGCUGUGAACUCGAAGAGUAGGGCGGGACACGUGGUAUCCUGUCUGAAUAUGGGGGGACCAUCCUCCAAGGCUAAAUACUCCUGACUGACCGAUAGUGAACCAGUACCGUGAGGGAAAGGCGAAAAGAACCCCGGCGAGGGGAGUGAAAUAGAACCUGAAACCGUGUACGUACAAGCAGUGGGAGCACCUUCGUGGUGUGACUGCGUACCUUUUGUAUAAUGGGUCAGCGACUUAUAUUCUGUAGCAAGGUUAACCGUAUAGGGGAGCCGAAGGGAAACCGAGUCUUAACUGGGCGUUAAGUUGCAGGGUAUAGACCCGAAACCCGGUGAUCUAGCCAUGGGCAGGUUGAAGGUUGGGUAACACUAACUGGAGGACCGAACCGACUAAUGUUGAAAAAUUAGCGGAUGACUUGUGGCUGGGGGUGAAAGGCCAAUCAAACCGGGAGAUAGCUGGUUCUCCCCGAAAGCUAUUUAGGUAGCGCCUCGUGAACUCAUCUUCGGGGGUAGAGCACUGUUUCGGCUAGGGGGCCAUCCCGGCUUACCAACCCGAUGCAAACUACGAAUACCGAAGAAUGUUAUCACGGGAGACACACGGCGGGUGCUAACGUCCGUCGUGAAGAGGGAAACAACCCAGACCGCCAGCUAAGGUCCCAAAGUCAUGGUUAAGUGGGAAACGAUGUGGGAAGGCACAGACAGCCAGGAUGUUGGCUUAGAAGCAGCCAUCAUUUAAAGAAAGCGUAAUAGCUCACUGGUCGAGUCGGCCUGCGCGGAAGAUGUAACGGGGCUAAACCAUGCACCGAAGCUGCGGCAGCGACGCGUAUGCGUUGUUGGGUAGGGGAGCGUUCUGUAAGCCGUUGAAGGUGUGCUGUGAGGCAUGCUGGAGGUAUCAGAAGUGCGAAUGCUGACAUAAGUAACGAUAAAGCGGGUGAAAAGCCCGCUCGCCGGAAGACCAAGGGUUCCUGUCCAACGUUAAUCGGGGCAGGGUGAGUCGACCCCUAAGGCGAGGCCGAAAGGCGUAGUCGAUGGGAAACAGGUUAAUAUUCCUGUACUUGGUGUUACUGCGAAGGGGGGACGGAGAAGGCUAUGUUAGCCGGGCGACGGUUGUCCCGGUUUAAGCAUGUAGGCGGAACGAUUAGGUAAAUCCGGUCGUUUUUUAACGCUGAGGUGUGAUGACGAGGCACUACGGUGCUGAAGUAACAAAUGCCCUGCUUCCAGGAAAAGCCUCUAAGCAUCAGGUAACAUCAAAUCGUACCCCAAACCGACACAGGUGGUCAGGUAGAGAAUACCAAGGCGCUUGAGAGAACUCGGGUGAAGGAACUAGGCAAAAUGGUGCCGUAACUUCGGGAGAAGGCACGCUGAUAUGUAGGUGAAGCCCCUGCGGGUGGAGCUGAAAUCAGUCGAAGAUACCAGCUGGCUGCAACUGUUUAUUAAAAACACAGCACUGUGCAAACACGAAAGUGGACGUAUACGGUGUGACGCCUGCCCGGUGCCGGAAGGUUAAUUGAUGGGGUUAGCGGCAACGCGAAGCUCUUGAUCGAAGCCCCGGUAAACGGCGGCCGUAACUAUAACGGUCCUAAGGUAGCGAAAUUCCUUGUCGGGUAAGUUCCGACCUGCACGAAUGGCGUAAUGAUGGCCAGGCUGUCUCCACCCGAGACUCAGUGAAAUUGAACUCGCUGUGAAGAUGCAGUGUACCCGCGGCAAGACGGAAAGACCCCGUGAACCUUUACUAUAGCUUGACACUGAACACUGGUCCUUGAUGUGUAGGAUAGGUGGGAGGCUUUGAAGCGUGGACGCCAGUCUGCGUGGAGCCGUCCUUGAAAUACCACCCUUUAAUGGCUGGUGUUCUAACGUAGACCCGUAAUCCGGGUUGCGGACAGUGUCUGGUGGGUAGUUUGACUGGGGCGGUCUCCUCCCAAAGAGUAACGGAGGAGCACGAAGGUUAGCUAAUCCUGGUCGGACAUCAGGAGGUUAGUGCAAUGGCAUAAGCUAGCUUGACUGCGAGAGUGACGGCUCGAGCAGGUGCGAAAGCAGGUCAUAGUGAUCCGGUGGUUCUGAAUGGAAGGGCCAUCGCUCAACGGAUAAAAGGUACUCCGGGGAUAACAGGCUGAUACCGCCCAAGAGUUCAUAUCGACGGCGGUGUUUGGCACCUCGAUGUCGGCUCAUCACAUCCUGGGGCUGAAGUAGGUCCCAAGGGUAUGGCUGUUCGCCAUUUAAAGUGGUACGCGAGCUGGGUUUAGAACGUCGUGAGACAGUUCGGUCCCUAUCUGCCGUGGGCGCUGGAGAAUUGAGGGGGGCUGCUCCUAGUACGAGAGGACCGGAGUGGACGCAUCACUGGUGUUCGGGUUGUCAUGCCAAUGGCACUGCCCGGUAGCUAAAUGCGGAAAAGAUAAGUGCUGAAAGCAUCUAAGCACGAAACUUGCCCCGAGAUGAGUUCUCCCUGAGACUUUAAGUCUCCUGAAGGAACGUUGAAGACGACGACGUUGAUAGGUCGGGUGUGUAAGCGCAGCGAUGCGUUGAGCUAACCGAUACUAAUGAACCGUGAGGCUUAACCUU
rnacentral:rRNA from 1 species